UACGUAGGCGGAAAAUUAAGUCAGUAGCGAAAUCCUGCAGCUUAACUGUAGAACUGUUAUUGAUACUGGUUUUCUUGAAUAUAGUUGAGGUAGGCGGAAUGUGUAAUGUAGCGGUGAAAUGCUUAGAUAUUACACAGAACACCGAUUGCGAAGGCAGCUUACUAAGCUAUGAUUGACGCUGAGGUACGAAAGCGUGGGGAGCGAACAGGAUUAGAUACCCUGGUAGUCC
rnacentral:rRNA from 1 species